GUGCCAGCAGCCGCGGUAAUACGUAGGUGGCAAGCGUUAUCCGGAAUUAUUGGGCGUAAAGCGCGCGUAGGCGGUUUUUUAAGUCUGAUGUGAAAGCCCACGGCUCAACCGUGGAGGGUCAUUGGAAACUGGAAAACUUGAGUGCAGAAGAGGAAAGUGGAAUUCCAUGUGUAGCGGUGAAAUGCGCAGAGAUAUGGAGGAACGCCAGUGGCGAAGGCGACUUUCUGGUCUGUAACUGACGCUGAUGUGCGAAAGCGUGGGGAUCAAACAGGAUU
rnacentral:rRNA from 1 species